UCCCAGUUCGGAUUGCAGGCUGCAACUCGCCUGCAUGAAGUUGGAAUUGCUAGUAAUCGUGGAUCAGCAUGCCACGGUGAAUACGUUCCCGGGCCUUGUACACACCGCCCGUCACACCAUGAGAGUCGGGAACACCCGAAGUCCGUAGUCUAACCGCAAGGGGGGCGCGGCCGAAGGUGGGUCCGGUAAUUGGGGUGAAGUCGUAACAAGGUAUC
rnacentral:rRNA from 1 species